UAUACCCGCCCGUGUAUACCCAGAUUCAUCUCCCGCAAAAAUCACGCCUGCUCGAUGAUUGAGUCCCAUCUCUUUCCAUCCGCGUGCCACCCAUUCCCUCCCCAUCCCAUCCAUCCCUCGCUUUCCAUGGCAGAUGCAGCGGCCCGCCUCCUUCCUUCCAAGUUCCAUCCAGGCGCGGAGGAGCUCCAAGCAUGGGGUCGCGGAGUGGCGCCCAAGCACCCUGGCUCCCUCUCCCCCAUUCAUGCCCCGAGGGCAGCACCCGUCCUCCCCCUCCCGCACCCCCGUCGGCCUCAUGCGCAGUAACGGCGCUGUCGGCGCAUGGCUGCUCUGGCAACACCACCGGCGGCAGUGGGAAUAGCACCGGAGGGGGAGCCGUGAAGCGAUCAGCGGGGCACCUGCGCCCGCUCCCUGCUCCCACAUCCCCCGGAGUCCGCCGCGUCGGAGGGGCUUUGCUUGCUUUGCUUCGUGAUGAUGCAGCUAUACGAUUGCUGUCGAGCCUCGAUUUUAUUUUUCCAUGGGUUUUAUUGUCCCAUGAACUGCGAAUUUAGUUGGUUGCCACAUCGGGACAUUUUUCUUUUGCCAAUUUGGUCUGAUUACGGAUUUGUAGUCUCUUCUAUAGGUUUCCCUUUGUAACAGUGUAACCACUAUACGGACAUCUGGUUUUGUUUCAGCAAUUCAACUAAGUUAAUUUGCUUUGAAUGUAAUGCUACUCGAUUAGUGAACGGAAUGAUCUGUCCUUCCUUACAUUUGUAAUGAUAGUUUGUUCCAGAAUGUGGACGCUGCCAGAGGCAAGCAAGAUUGCUAGACCAAAUGCUAAUGUAGAGGGAAGCAACAUGCCAGUUGCUGCAGAGUGCGGUUCUAAGAAGAUCCAAGCAAAACAAGAUUGCAGGGAUAUUUUAGAAGUUCAAGAUGCUCAUCGUGAUGUGCAGUCACUAGACAAGACGAUAGCAAGCUUUGAGACAGCUUUCAGCUGCAAGAUUUUGCGUUUUUCCUGACCGUUUCCUCGGAUCCCGUUUUCCAUCCGGGAAUAACCGUUUUGUUCCCGUUUUAGUUCCCAUAUUUUAUAUUUAUUCAGUCGAGCCAACAGCCCACAAGUCUAUGGAGGCCCAAGACGAAUGGAGCUUGGCAGCGAGAGUUACAACAUUUCGGAGCCACUGGCCGCUUAUAUAGCGAGUCCAUUGCCACACUCUCCUUUGCCUUCACGAGGUGGUACAAAACUAAUGCUUCUACUACCGAUAAGAGCCGGUGCAGAUGUCUCUCUGGCUCUUUGCUAAGUGGGCUGGAUGGUGUGUACUUGCUGCCGGGCCUGCCGCAUUGAACGACAAUCGAAGCCGAGCAGUAGAUAGGAUAGUAGGAUACCAGGGCCUAGGACUAGGAGCAUCGUGAUUUGAUCCAGAUUUUUUAUAUAUUGAUUUUUUUACUAUUUGAUUAUUAUCCUUGCUAGCUUAAC